GACGUAGGAGGCGAGCGUUGUCCGGAUUCAUUGGGCGUAAAGAGCACGCAGGCGGUUUGGCAAGUCGGAUGUGAAAACCCGGAGCUCAACUCCGGGCGUGCAUCCGAUACUGCCCGACUAGAGGUAGGUAGGGGAGAUCGGAAUUCCUGGUGUAGCGGUGAAAUGCGCAGAUAUCAGGAGGAACACCGGUGGCGAAGGCGGGUCUCUGGGCCUUACCUGACGCUCAGGUGCGAAAGCUAGGGGAGCGAACAGG
rnacentral:rRNA from 1 species